rnacentral:lncRNA from 1 species
GCCCGCAGUGCCCAGAUCUGGCAAGCAGCUGGAUCCGGUGAACGGGUGACCUCCUCCAACGAGCAGACGUCACAGCAAUGCAGAUCCGGCAAGCGAUGGUAUGGCACGUGGAUGGGCUCAGUGGGCCUGUCCAUGGUUUUUUUGUUUUUUUAUUCGAUUUACCGAGGCGAGCAUCCAACAUCUCCUAUUAAGGCCACGAUUAACCGUGACCAUUUGUCCAAGGUGGUUGGCUUACCCGCCUCGGUUAAGCCAAAAUGCAAAAAUUAUUGUAGUAGUGGUCUCGAGAAUGGAGAAACAACCAAUAUGAAAUGUUGUAUGUAACAUCCAAAAAUUUGCUUUUGAAUUAAUAGGGUUUAAUUGGAUUUAUUUCAAUAUUUGUGUGAGCAUUUAAAGUAGCAAAUAAAUAUUUUUUUUGGAAAUUAAAAUUUAUCAUAAGCUUAGUAACAAUGUUUUGUGCAUUCAUGCUGAGACAUAUUUUAUUUUGUGUUGAUUGUUUUUGGUUUGU